GCCCUUACUGCUCAGUAACACGUAGUCAACCUGCCCUCGGGUCGAGAACAAUCUCGGGAAACUGAGGCUAAUUCUCGAUAGGUCAAGAUUCCUGGAAUGGGUUUUGGCCCAAAUGGUGUAACAGCAUCUUGUUAUGUUCGCCCGAGGAUGGGACUGCGGCCGAUCAGGCUGUUGGUGAGGUAAAGGCUCACCAAACCAGUAACCGGUACGGGCUUUGAGAGAAGGAGCCCGGAGAUGGACACUGAGACAAGGGUCCAGGUCCUACGGGGCGCAGCAGGCGCGAAACCUUCGCAAUGCGCGCAAGCGCGACGAGGUUAUUCCGAGUGAUUUCCGCUGAGGAAAUCUUUUCUCAGAUCUAAAAUGUCUGGGGAAUAAGGGGAGGGCAAGUCUGGUGUCAGCCGCCGCGGUAAUACCAGCUCCUCGAGUGGUCAGGGCGUUUAUUGGGCCUAAAGCAUCCGUAGCCGGCUCAGUAGGUCUUCUGUUAAAUCCAACGGCUCAACCGUUGGUCUGCAGGAGAUACCACUGGGCUAGGAGGCGGGAGAGGCGGACGGUACUCCGAGGGUAGGGGUAAAAUCCUUUGAUCCCCGGAAGACCACCAGUGGCGAAGGCGGUCCGCCAGAACGCGCUCGACGGUGAGGGAUGAAAGCUGGGGGAGCGAACCGGAUUAGAUACCCGGGUAGUCCCAGCUGUAAACGAUGCGAGCUAGGUGACACAAGGCCUUCGGGGCCUCGUGGUGCCGCAGGGAAGCCGUUAAGCUCGCCGCCUGGGGAGUACGGACGCAAGUCUGAAACUUAAAGGAAUUGGCGGGGGAGCACAAGGGC
rnacentral:rRNA from 1 species